rnacentral:lncRNA from 7 species
AUUAGCAAGAAAAGUCCCAGGGGGAGGAGACACCACUAGGUUCCUCGGCAGCCCCCAGAUCCCCUGCACUACGCAAAGACCCCUGCGGCUACCUAGACGUGACACACGUCACGGACUCCGGGCUGCAGGAUCGUGGUCCAGAAAAGUUGCCCAACAGCCUCGAGAGACGCAGCUUGCGGAGGAAAGAGACUCGCGGGGCAGCGGCGCACGCGGCCUCUGCCCACCCCGAGAGCCCAGGCCGGAGAAGCGCACCUCCGGGGUGAAGAGGGAGAACCAGCCACCCACCGCCCGGGACCGCUCGGGGUCACCCGGAAUCUUGGAGCCCCGGCUGGCAGGGGACGCUCACAGUGGAGUGGGCCCCGUCCCCUCCGCACAGCGCUCUGGGCAGGAACUCACCUCCUCUUCCGAAAGUCCGUAGACAGGCUCCCCAAGCCCGGUCGCCAUGGAGCCGGCGCCCCGCGCAGGGUCCUGGACGCUGCGACUGGCUGAAGUGCGUCGCGGAGCCGCGACCCUCUGUCCUUCUGCGCCGCCCGGCGGGGAAGGGCCGGCAGAGUCUCCAGGAGCUCUAAAAGAGAGCGACGAUGCUUGUUUCUAGACCCCCUUUAAAUUCUUGGCAGCUAUGGCAGGCCAGACUUGGCUAACAGCUUCAGCUCGCCCAAGAGAUUUUCCUGGCUGGGCGGCCAGCCUAGGAGAGGCUGCCCCGGUGUGGCCGUGAGUCGCCAUUGCUGGAGUCAACUCUACUGGGAACAAAACCAACUCCGCGCCCGCGCUGAGUACACACCCACCCACUUGAAACCCGGCUGCCUAGUUCUUUGAUAAAAGCUCAUUUUUUGUGAGGCACAACGUGAAAUACCAAAUUCCAGUUUAAGUUUGUCCUUUACAUAUGCAAACGAUGGAGAUGUCUUAUUAGCCACCGUAGGAAUCUUCCCACGUUCCAGAUAGGGAGUUUCUCUAGCAAGCCCUUCAUUUAAUCCUUCGAUGUUCAGGAACGCAGGAGGCUACUUUAAAUAAGAGAAAUUUGCCACUCCUAGAAGUCUUUUCCUUGGAGCUGGGCGUGGUGGCCCGUGCCUUUAAUUCCAGCACGGGGGAGGCAGAGACAAGAUCUUUGUGAGUUCGAGGAACAGCUAGGUCUGCAUGGUAAAUUCAGGACAACCAUAGCUGUAAAGAAAGACACUGUCUCAAAAAAAAAAAAAAACAAAAAGGAAGGCCGUUUGUUCCUUAAAUUUAAAUGUUGAGUGCGGUGGUAAAUUAGAAAUGAAAACAGGAAGAACAUUUUGUUUGCCUUUAAAUAGAAAGCACCAGAGUGUCUAGUACUGUCUGGGUGGUUAAAAAUCAACUGAUUCAGCUUGUCUGUCCCAGCUUAAUGACCAAGUACCUGCUGUGCACCUGCAAAUCAAAAAGAAGGAUGUUGCACCAGCCCCCAACUCUCUUUCCUCCAUUGCAAUGUGUCCCAAAGUAGUGACUUUCCUUCGAAGUCAGCCACAAUGGAAUCAACACUCUGCUCGGAAGCCUAAGAUGGAAUUCAAAAGCCAUUAAGACCACACAGUGCUUAGGAGCUGGGGAAGGAGGGAGACAGAGACCGAGGCGGGAGGGAGGGAGGAACUGGAGGAGAGAGAGAGGAUUGCUCCUAAGUAUGGCGGAGAAGGUUUAUUAUAUAGAUGUAGGAGAGCAUAGCCAAAGGCAGGGACAUCUGGGAGAGUCCAGAGUGGACGUGACCCUGAGAGAGGGGAAGAGAGAGAGAGGAGAGCAGCUUCCAGCCAAGAGAGUCAGCCAGGGCCUAGAGAGUAGAUAAGAAGACCAGGUAACGAAAAUGGCUGUAGGGAAGGGCAGUUGGGGGAAGGGAAGUCUAAUCCUCUGGGCUAGAGAACUUUAGGGUAUGGAGUAGGGUGUGCCAGCCACGCCCUGUAACAGAUAGGGACUGAGGAAUGCUGGGAGAACCUGGCCCUCAGGUCAAUUUUGAUAUGUUGAAUGGGCACCUCAGCCAUUUGUCCUGGGUUUGGGACCUAACAGGAGCCUCAAGAUCCCUACUGAGAAACAAAAAUUUGGGAAAGAACAUGUCUUAGACAAGCUUUCCUGGGCUUUUUUAUGCCAAGAAUUUUCAAUUUUCCAAACCUAGUUUAUUUAUCUUUUUAAUAAAAGGUACACACGUGUACACACACACACAUUUUUGAUGCCCUUCUAAGUGCCUAUGUACCUAUGACCCACAUAAAUGGAAGUCAUUGCUUUUCAACAUCUGCAAUCAGGCCUUUGUCAAAAUUUGUAGUUUACAUUGUGUUUUGAGGCAAGGGGAACGGGGUGAUGGACUCUUUAAAUUUCCUGAAAGGAAACUGUUAGGGGAGGCUUGAGAGGUGGUUCAGUAACAAGCCCCCAUCCUCCUACUAAUGCCAGCAACUCCAGAUCCAAGGGCUCGAACGAGCUCUUCUGUCUUCACACGGGUGUGUCCACUCUUGCAGACAUACGUAUAAAUAAAACAAAUUUUAAGAAAAAGUAUCGGGCCUGGAGAGAUGGCUCAGCAGUUAAGAGCACUGACUGCUCUUCGGAAGGUCCUGAGUUCAAAUCCCAGCAACCACAUGGUGGCUCACAACCUUCCUUCAGGAGAUCUGAUGCCCUCUUCUGGAGUGUCUGAAGACAGCUGCAGUGUACUUAGAUAUAAUAAUAAAUAAAUCUUUUAAAAAAGAAAAAGAAAAGAAAAAGGCUGACUUAAAACAACUCUUCUCUCCAAACUGAAACAUUCUUUCCAAGAGGGAGGCUCCUCAGACUGCCUCAGACAAGCAGUAAAUUGCUGAAAGGAAGACCAGCAGUGCCUGGAAGUUGGGCAGGGAGCUCCAGGGAUGUCCCCUUCUGAUAGCAUAGACGGGCUUUUCCAGGGUGCAGCUGAUUUUGAGUCAGUCGAGCUCCUUUGAGUAAUCUUAAUAAAUGCACUGGUUCCCUAAGCUCCAUCAGAGGAACUGUUUCUCUGUGUCCUAUCUGAGAUGAAGACACAUCUGUUCAUCUCUCCCCCGAAAAGUCAUCCAGCAGACACAGUCAGCCAGACGCUCUAGAGGGGUGUCAGACUGUCUCAUGAAAUCCCUCAGGCUCCUGCUCUCUCCCUAUUCUCAUCACAGCCCUGUGCCACCCACCCACAGUCUGGGUCAUGCCCUUGACAGUCACUGAGGGGCAGAUAUUAGAAGUGAGGCGUGAUUAUGAUCAAAAUAGUGCACGCAUGUGCUACAUUCUCAAAGAACCAGCAAACGUUUAUAUUGAACUACACGUAGGAAAUUUGCCAUCUGUCACUUAGGACGGACAGCUUAUGAAAUUAUGAUCUGUAGCAUUGUUCGACGGCCUCUGUGAACAGGCUCAAACAGAACAUUUAUUUACCAUAUGGAUCUGUAAAGGAAACCUUACUGUCUUCUAAGGAACUGCUAAGUAAAAACAUUGUGGAUGACCGAAAA